rnacentral:rRNA from 1 species
UACGUAGGGUGCAAGCGUUAAUCGGAAUUACUGGGCGUAAAGCGUACGCAGGCGGUUGUGCAAGCCAGAUGUGAAAUCCCCGGGCUCAACCUGGGAACUGCAUUUGUGACUGCACAGCUUGAGUGCGGCAGAGGGGGAUGGAAUUCCGCGUGUAGCAGUGAAAUGCGUAGAUAUGCGGAGGAACACCGAUGGCGAAGGCAAUCCCCUGGGCCUGCACUGACGCUCAUGCACGAAAGCGUGGGGAGCAAACAGG